AACGAACGCUGGCGGCAGGCCUAAUACAUGCAAGUCGAACGGAUGUAGCAAUACAUUAGUGGCGCACGGGUGCCUAACGCGUGGGAACAUACCCUUGAGUAAGGAAUAAUUUCUGGAAACGGACACCAAUACCUUAUAUGGACUUCGGUCCAAAGAUUCAUCGCUCAAGGAUUGGCCCGCGUCUGAUUAGCUAGUUGGUGAGGUAACGGCUCACCAAGGCGACGAUCAGUAGCUGGUCUGAGAGGAUGCUCAGCCACACUGGGACUGAGACACGGCCCAGACUCCUACGGGAGGCAGCAGUAAGGAAUAUUGGACAAUGGGGGAAACCCUGAUCCAGCCAUGCCGCGUGAGUGAAGAAGGCCUUAGGGUUGUAAAGCUCUUUCAAUAGUGAAGAUAAUGACGGUAGCUAUAGAAGAAGCCCCGGCUAAAUUCGUGCCAGCCGCCGCGGUAA
rnacentral:rRNA from 1 species